rnacentral:rRNA from 1 species
GGGCCCCGCACAAGCAGCGGAGCGUGUGGUUUAAUUCGACGCAACGCGAAGAACCUUACCUGGGCUUGACAUGUCCGUGUAAACCCUGGAAACAGGGUCCCUCUUCGGAGCGCGGUCACAGGUGGUGCAUGGCUGUCGUCAGCUCGUGUCGUGAGAUGUUGGGUUAAGUCCCGCAACGAGCGCAACCCUUAUUGCUAGUUACCAUCAUUGAGUUGGGGACUCUAGCGAGACUGCCAGCGAUAAGCUGGAGGAAGGUGGGGAUGACGUCAAAUCAUCAUGCCCCUUAUGACCUGGGCUACAAACGUGAUACAAUGGCUGGAACAAAGGGAGGCGAAGGGGUGACCUGGAGCGAAACCCAAAAAUACAGUCUCAGUUCGGAUUGAAGUCUGCAACUCGACUUCAUGAAGUCGGAAUCGCUAGUAAUCGCGGAUCAGAACGCCGCGGUGAAUACGUUCUCGGGGUUU